rnacentral:rRNA from 1 species
CACGUAGGGGGCAAGCGUUGUCCGGAUUCAUUGGGCGUAAAGAGCUCGUAGGCGGCUCAGUAAGUCGGGUGUGAAACCCUCAGGCUCAACCUGGGGACGCCACUCGAUACUGCUGUGGCUAGAGUCCAGUAGGGGAGUGUGGAAUUCCCGGUGUAGCGGUGAAAUGCGCAGAUAUCGGGAGGAACACCAGCGGCGAAGGCGGCACUCUGGGCUGGUACUGACGCUGAGGAGCGAAAGCCAGGGGAGCAAACGGG